CAGUGGGGAAUAUUGCACAAUGGGGGAAACCCUGAUGCAGCCAUGCCGCGUGUAUGAAGAAGGCCUUCGGGUUGUAAAGUACUUUCAGUAGGGUGGAAGGCAGUGUCGUUAAUAGCGGCAUUGUUUGACGUUACCUACAGAACAAGCACCGGCUAACUCCGUGCCAGCAGCCGCGGUAAUACGGAGGGUGCGAGCGUUAAUCGGAAUUACUUGGCGUAAAGCGCAUGCAGGCGGUCUGUUAAGCAAGAUGUGAAAGCCCGGGGCUCAACCUCGGAACAGCAUUUUGAACUGGCAGACUAGAGUCUUGUAGAGGUGGGUAGAAUUUCAGGUGUAGCGGUGAAAUGCGUAGAGAUCUGAAGGAAUACCGGUGGCGAAGGCGGCCCCUUGGACAAAGACUGACGCUCAGAUGCGAAAGCGUGGGGAGCAAACAGGAUUAGAUACCCUGGUAGUCCACGCCGUAAACGAUGUCUACUUGGUGGUUGUGGCCUUGAGCCGUGGCUUUCGGAGCUAACGCGUUAAGUAGACCGCCUGGGGAGUACGGUCGCAAGAUUAAAACUCAAAUGAAUUGACGGGGGCCCGCACAAGCGGUGGAGCAUGUGGUUUAAUUCGAUGCAACCCGAAGAACCUUACCUACUCUUGACAUCCAGAGAACUUAGCAGAGAUGCUUUGGUGCCUUCGGGAACUCUGAGAUAGGUGCUGCAUGGCUGUCGUCAGCUCGUGUUGUGAAAUGUUGGGUUAAGUCCCGCAACGAGCGCAACCCUUAUCCUUGUUUGCCAGCACUUCGGGUGGGAACUCCAGGGAGACUGCCGGUGAUUAACCGGAGGAAGGUGGGGACGACGUCAAGUCAUCAUGGCCCUUACGAGUAGGGCUA
rnacentral:rRNA from 1 species